UGUUCACUAAUGUGAAUCAUACCAUAAACAAACUGCAGCACUGUGAGAAGAACUGCAACUCUACCACCUCUACUGCAGAGUGCCAGUGCCUCAAG